rnacentral:rRNA from 1 species
GCAUAACGCGAAGAACCUUACCAGGUCUUGACAUCCCUCUGACCGGUCCGUAACGGGGCCUUCCCUUCGGGGCAGAGGAGACAGGUGGUGCAUGGUUGUCGUCAGCUCGUGUCGUGAGAUGUUGGGUUAAGUCCCGCAACGAGCGCAACCCCUAUUCUUAGUAGCCAGCAGGUAAAGCUGGGCACUCUGAGGAGACUGCCAGGGAUAACUUGGAGGAAGGCGGGGAUGACGUCAAAUCAUCAUGCCCCUUAUGAUCUGGGCUACACACGUGCUACAAUGGUGGCUACAAAGGGAAGCGACCCUGUGAAGGUAAGCAAAUCCCAAAAAAGCCAUCCCAGUUCGGAUUGUAGUCUGCAACUCGACUACAUGAAGCUGGAAUCGCUAGUAAUCGCGAAUCAGAAUGUCGCGGUGAAUACGUUCCCGGGUCUUGUACACACCG